rnacentral:rRNA from 1 species
AGCGAACAUUGGCGGUAGGCUUAACACAUGCAAGUCGAGCGAGGCGUAAUAGUCGAGCGGCGAACGGGUGCGUAAUACAUGGGAAUCUACCUCGAAGUGGGGGAUAACGUCCAGAAAUGGACGCUAAUACCGCAUAAUCCAUAUCGGGAAAGCGUUGCAGCGCUUUGAGAUGAGCCCAUGGCUGAUUAGCUUGUUGGUGAGGUAACGGCUCACCAAGGCGACGAUCAGUAGCUGGUCUGAGAGGAUGACCAGCCACACUGGAACUGAGACACGGUCCAGACUCCUACGGGAGGCAGCAGUGGGGAAUCUUGCGCAAUGGGGGCAACCCUGACGCAGCCAUACCGCGUGAGUGAUGAAGGUCUUCGGAUUGUAAUGCUCUUUCGGCAGGGACGACGAUGACGGUACCUGCAAAAGAAGUCACGGCUAACUUCGUGCCAGCCGCCGCCGUAA